GGUGGAGAGACCGGAAGUGGGGGCCGGAGCGGCCGCGAGAUCCGAAGCUGACGGGUGGGACCCGGGGUCGAGCAGGCCCAGAGGCAGAAGCCGAGCGGGUGGGUCCCCAAGUGUUAACGCGCCCUAGGGAACGCCUUGGUGAGGUGUAGAAAGGCGGGAAGCAGGCUCUUCCUGGAAAUGCUGGAAAACUGGGAAGUUGGGAGAGGUUUCUGUGUGUCAGUGAUCAAAACAGCAUUUUACCCAAGGGACCCGGCUGUGCCUCCGGUUGGGGGCUGUUUCCACCUUUUACAGUUUACUUCAGUUUUUAAAAUUGUCUUGAGUCUUGAAAUAUGAAUUAUUUUUCAAAACUUAGCUGCGAGUUUUGAAUGUUUCUAAGUUUUGGAAAUGUAGUUUAGCUUCGCAAAUACAGGUUUUGGAAGUGAGAUUUGCAUUUUGAAAAUUUCAGUUGUGACCUCAAGUAGUUUACAAGUAUUUUGUUUACUUUAAAGUGUUCAUUUUAGAUUUGAUUUCGUAAAGAUGUCCCCCAAAUGUUCAUGUGUAACAGUUAUUGCCCUAACGUUAAAUACGUGCUUGACGCCUAUCGUACAUUUGUACUGAUACGUGAUUCGUGUUUAUAUUAUAAACACCUGUUGGCACAUAUACACACGACCGGAGUCUGGGGACGUCCCGGGCGGCGCGCUUAACCCUGGUCUCGCGAGAUCUGUCUGUGCGGACGGCCCCGCGGGCGGUCUUGGCACUCCUGCUGAGACCUCUCUCCCGCAGGUGCCUGGCUCCGCCCUGUCCCGUCGCGCGCGGACGCGCCCAGCAGGGGGCGCCGUCUCCGUGCUCUUGGAGCCGCCGUUCCUCCCACGCGCACCUGCAGUGGGGCGGAAAGGGGCGCGGCCUGGAAUGCGGACAAACCCUCCAGCCCGCUUUCCGGAAGGGGCCCGGGGCGAGUUUAAGCGUAACUUAGACCCGCCCUCGCUGCAGCCGGACGGAAAUUCCCAUCUCGCUGGAACAGGCGAGGGCGCCGAGGAACCCAGAGGACUGCAGCAGGGGGCGCAGGUGUCCGUCCACAAGCUACCUUCCUAGGUGACAGCUCCUGCCAGAGAGCCUCCCAGUAUAUUCCUGCAGGAACGCAGCGCCACGCUCUUCCUGGAGUGGCGAAAGAUCUAAUAAACUCGAGUUCCUACACGCCGGUUUCAUUAAUGUUACGAAAGCAAACUUUAUCAUUUGCCCGCCGCUCCUUUUUUAGAGGCGGGAGAGGGCGGUAAGAGGCACAGACUCGGUCCCGUAUGUCAUUCUUCCGUCUUCAAAGCACCGAGCAACUACGGAUGAAGUGAGAGCACAUCUCGGCACUGCUUCAAGAGGCCGGGGUGGGAAGGGGGGCAUCUGCGGAAAUAGAUGCUUCCUGUUGUACCCAUGUGAUGGCUGCGAUGUCCUACGAGUUCAUCUGUAAGUACAAAUGACAGUCCGCCCAACUGUGUUCAAGUUUUCCUACACACGCUAAGGGACCAGGUGUGCAGUGUCACCGAAAACCUUUCAAAAAGGUCAAGUCCUUCGAGCCGGAUUCGAACCAGCGACCUAAGGAUGACUACAACCACCCGCCUACAGUCCUCCGCUCUACCAACUGAGCUAUCGAAGGAUUGGUGUGCGUUCAAGCUGAUGUUUUGUAUCACAUACAAGAGUUUUAGUCGUCCUAAAUGUCACAUUUGGACAGACCUAGUUGCAUUUAUGAAGAGCCGUGUAGAAACAAAUGCAAAUCCUUCACCAGCGAAGGAACCAGCGUGCAUCACUCAGAGAUGCUAGACUUUCAGCAAACUGACGUUCUCAUGGACUUUUAUGUUGUCUCCCCCCAGGGGAAGCCAAGCGUGUUUGGCUUUUAGGAAGGAGGGUGGGCAGAAUCGUUGGUGGCUGCGUGGUGAACUGUAAUGGACACUAUUGCUUUUCAAAAAUCUCCUGACAUUGUGUUCUACCAUAUCUAAGACUAGAGUUCAUUACUCCUUUAGAAAUAGAUGUGGCCGUGUGACACAACUGUUUUGACAAAUGAGAUGUCCCUCCUGGAAGUUGGAGAGCCAGUGAGCCAUCCACCACACCCCUCUUGACCCUUCCCCUGACAAAAUAUGAUCUGAGUUGUUGGGGAUCCACAAGGAGCCCACCAGGCAAACCAUGACUGAUUUAUAUGACGCCGAAGAGUUUCCGGUUAUGAGCCAUCAUGAUUUGCAGAGGGGGAAUGCUUGUGACUGCAGUGUAACCUACCCUACUCAGGCGGACACACA